rnacentral:pre_miRNA from 5 species
UCUUAUGGAUGACCAAAGAAAGUGGUUUCUUGAAAUGGAAUCCACUCCUGGUGAGGAUACUGUCAA